GGCUGGAUCCCUGAAUCGCUGCAUGGAAGACAGCUGACUGCCCCCCAGACACCCACAGGGGAUUACCAUAACCAGACAUUUCUCCACUUAUUGGAGAGCAGUUUAUUAGAAACCAAGAUCUGGAUAUGAGGAGUGCUCAUCGCUGCUGAUUUGUCAUUGCUUCUAAACCCCCUCCGCUGACAUGAGCCAUCGGGGAAUUCUUAUCAGGUCUUUAGCUUUUCCCAGAGGGAAAGCUCAUGAACGAACGUGUGGUGGUUCCCCCAAGACUGCAGCCGCCCAGGAUCGUACCAUGUUCACGCUGACCCAUGCUCAGAUUCAGAGUACUCGGCGACCUUGUUUACCAUGUUGGUGUUCCCAGGAAUUUAUGACUCCAGCAACUUCAGCUCCGAGUAAGCAGAUCUCACCCGAAUCUCUCUGCAUUCACUGGUCUCGCCAGAUCUUGGAAGGUUUGUUUAUUCUGUUACCUCAAUUC